UCCCAGAAAAUCCGGUUUAUACUGACUGUUAAUCCGUAGGUCCCUGGUUCGAGCCCAGGUCGAGGAGCCA
rnacentral:tRNA from 1 species